rnacentral:rRNA from 1 species
AAAUUGAAGAGUUUGAUCAUGGCUCAGAUUGAACGCUGGCGGCAGGCCUAACACAUGCAAGUCGAGCGGAAACGAGUUAUCAGAACCUUCGGGGGACGAUAACGGCGUCGAGCGGCGGACGGGUGAGUAAUGCCUAGGAAAUUGCCCUGAUGUGGGGGAUAACCAUUGGAAACGAUGGCUAAUACCGCAUGAUGCCUACGGGCCAAAGAGGGGGACCUUCGGGCCUCUCGCGUCAGGAUAUGCCUAGGUGGGAUUAGCUAGUUGGUGAGGUAAGGGCUCACCAAGGCGACGAUCCCUAGCUGGUCUGAGAGGAUGAUCAGCCACACUGGAACUGAGACACGGUCCAGACUCCU